GACUCUCGGCAACGGAUAUCUCGGCUCUCGCAUCGAUGAAGAACGUAGAGAAAUGCGAUACCUCGUGUGAAUUGCAGAAUCCCGCGAACCAUCGAGUCUUUGAACGCAAGUUGCGCCCGAGGCCACUCGGCCGAGGGCACGCCUGCCUGGGCGUCA
rnacentral:rRNA from 16 species